GUUAUUUCUGCUCUGUGCUCAGCCACCCUGCUGGAAGCUGCCCCCAAGGUGGAGGAAUUGCUCCGCCUGCAGACUGCGCAUCCCUGUAGGACCUUCUGCUUGCUCCCCAGCCCAUGAGCUCUUAGGAGUAAGCCACAGUCUUCAAAAUGAUCAUCAGCAGCAGUGAUAGAGCAUCCUGACGUUCAACCCUAUAAAAGCAAGAGCAGUUUCGUCAGAAGUCUCGACACUGCGUGUACUGGGGGCCAGGAGAUGCUCUACAGAGCAGCUCCUGACGGACGACGCACAGCCGGCAGGGAGGGGGAGACUCUUGGGGGCACACCCUAUUAGCUGCUCUCAGAGCUGCUGGGGAUCCCACAAGGAAGAGAGCAGAGAAGAGAGUGCCAGGAGCCGCCUUUUGUUACCCUUGAAACCUCUGCAGAGGUGGCGCUGCGUACCUGAGUCUCUGGCCAUCUAGAAACACAGCUACUGUUUCCAGAAGCCUCACCAGCUUCCUUCUGGUUCCUGGUCAGAGGGCCCCAGCCUCCCUCAGGCUUCAUGCUGUGUCCCUCUGCCACCUCCUUGCAAU
ensembl:lncRNA